UACGUAGGGUGCGAGCGUUAAUCGGAAUUACUGGGCGUAAAGCGUGCGCAGGCGGUUUUGUAAGCCAGAUGUGAAAUCCCCGGGCUCAACCUGGGAAUGGCAUUUGGGACUGCAAGGCUGGAGUGCGGCAGAGGAGACUGGAAUUCCUGGUGUAGCAGUGAAAUGCGUAGAUAUCAGGAGGAAUACCGAUGGCGAAGGCAGCCCCCUGGGCUGACACUGACGCUCAGGCACGAAAGCGUGGGGAGCAAACAGG
rnacentral:rRNA from 1 species